rnacentral:rRNA from 1 species
UACGUAGGUGGAAGAUUAAGUCAGUGGUGAAAUCCUGCAGCUUAACUGUAGAACUGUCAUUGAUACUGGUUUUCUUGAAUUUAGUUGAGGUAGGCGGAAUGUGUAAUGUAGCGGUGAAAUGCUUAGAUAUUACACAGAACACCGAUUGCGAAGGCAGCUUACUAAACUAUGAUUGACGCUGAGGUACGAAAGCGUGGGGAGCGAACAGGAUUAGAUACCCUGGUAGUCC